rnacentral:rRNA from 1 species
AGAGUUUGAUCAUGGCUCAGGAUGAACGCUAGCGGCAGGCUUAACACAUGCAAGUCGAGGGGUAACAGGGGUUGCUUGCAACCCGCUGACGACCGGCGCACGGGUGCGUAACGCGUAUGCAACCUACCUUCUACAGGGGGAUAGUCAAUAGAAAUGUUGAAUAAUACCCCAUACGAUCAUUAAUCUGCAUGGAUUGAUGAGGAAAGUUCCGGCGGUAGAAGAUGGGCAUGCGUCCUAUUAGUUAGUUGGUAAGGUAACGGCUUACCAAGACGUCGAUAGGUAGGGGUCCUGAGAGGGAGAUCCCCCACACUGGUACUGAGACACGGACCAGACUCCUACGGGAGGCAGCAGUGAGGAAUAUUGGACAAUGGAGGCAACUCUGAUCCAGCCAUGCCGCGUGCAGGAAGACGGCCCUAUGGGUUGUAAACUGCUUUUAUACAGGAAGAAUGGUACCUACGUGUAGGUAUUUGACGGUACUGUACGAAUAAGGAUCGGCUAACUCCGUGCCAGCAGCCGCGGUAAU